GACGAACGCUGGCGGCGUGCCUAACACAUGCAAGUCGAACGGAAGUAAGAGCUUCGGUUUUUACUUUAGUGGCGAACGGGUGAGUAACGCGUGAGGAACCUGCCUCUCAGUGGGGGACAACAGUUGGAAACGACUGCUAAUACCGCAUGACACUUCUUGAAGGCAUCUUUAAGGAGUCAAAGCUUUAUGUGCUGAGAGAUGGCCUCGCGUCUGAUUAGAUAGUUGGUGGGGUAACGGCCCACCAAGUCGACGAUCAGUAGCCGGUCUGAGAGGAUGAACGGCCACAUUGGGACUGAGAUACGGCCCAG
rnacentral:rRNA from 1 species